rnacentral:rRNA from 1 species
ACGCUGGCGGCAGGCCUAACACAUGCAAGUCGAGCGGUAGAGAGAAGCUUGCUUCUCUUGAGAGCGGCGGACGGGUGAGUAAUGCCUAGGAAUCUGCCUGGUAGUGGGGGAUAACGUUCGGAAACGGACGCUAAUACCGCAUACGUCCUACGGGAGAAAGCAGGGGACCUUCGGGCCUUGCGCUAUCAGAUGAGCCUAGGUCGGAUUAGCUAGUUGGUGAGGUAAUGGCUCACCAAGGCAACGAUCCGUAACUGGUCUGAGAGGAUGAUCAGUCACACUGGAACUGAGACACGGUCCAGACUCCUACGGGAGGCAGCAGUGGGGAAUAUUGGACAAUGGGCGAAAGCCUGAUCCAGCCAUGCCGCGUGUGUGAAGAAGGUCUUCGGAUUGUAAAGCACUUUAAGUUGGGAGGAAGGGCAUUAACCUAAUACGUUAGUGUUUUGACGUUACCGACAGAAUAAGCACCGGCUAACUCUGUGCCAGCAGCCGCGGUAAUACAGAGGGUGCAAGCGCUAAUCGGAAUUACUGGGCGUAAAGCGCGCGUAAGUGGUUUGUUAAGUUGGAUGUGAAAUCCCCGGGCUCAACCUGGGAACUGCAUUCAAAACUGACUGACUAGAGUAUGGUAGAGGGUGGUGGAAUUUCCUGUGUAGCGGUGAAAUGCGUAGAUAUAGGAAGGAACACCAGUGGCGAAGGCGACCACCUGGACUAAUACUGACACUGAGGUGCGAAAGCGUGGGGAGCAAACAGGAUUA